rnacentral:rRNA from 1 species
AUACGUAGGGGGCAAGCGUUAUCCGGAUUUACUGGGUGUAAAGGGAGCGUAGACGGAAGGCCAAGUCUGAUGUGAAAGCCCGCGGCUCAACUGCGGGACUGCAUUGGAAACUGGUCAUCUGGAGUGCAGGAGGGGUAAGCGGAAUUCCUGGUGGAGCGGUAAAAUGCGUAGAGAUCAGGAGGAACACCGGUAGCGAAGGCGACUUUCUGGCUGACAACUGACGCUGAGGCGCGAAAGCGUGGGGAGCGAACAGGAUUAGAUACCCUGGUAGUCCACGCUGUAAACGAUGAUUACUAGGUGUAGGGGGUAUCGACUCCCUCUGUGCCGCAGUUAACACAAUAAGUAUUCCGCCUGGGGAGUACGGCCGCAAGGUUGAAACUCAAAGGAAUUGACGGGG